rnacentral:rRNA from 1 species
GAAGUAAAAGUCGUAACAAGGUUUCCGUAGGUGAACCUGCGGAAGGAUCAUUACAGUGUCUAGCUGGGCGUCCCCUCGGGGUCGCCCGCUACUGACCACCCUUGCCUACCUAACCACUGUUGCUUCGGCAGGCCCGCUCCCGGUGCUCCCUAACGGGGGCUCUUGGGGCGGCCUGGGGCCUGGCUUAACCGCCGCCCGGGUUUGCGCCUGCCGGGGGAUUAGUUGAAACACUUGUUGAUCAGUGAGAACUCUGAGUUGAUUUUAAAAUCGUUAAAACUUUCAACAACGGAUCUCUUGGUUCCAGCAUCGAUGAAGAACGCAGCGAAAUGCGAUAAGUAAUGUGAAUUGCAGAAUUCCGUGAAUCAUCGAAUCUUUGAACGCACAUUGCGCCCUCUGGUAUUCCGGGGGGCAUGCCUGUCCGAGCGUCAUUACACCAAUCAAGCACGGCUUGUGAGUUGGGCCACCGUCCCCUAAAAAGGACGGGCCCGAAACGCAGUGGCGGCGUCGCGGUUUCUCGAUCAGCCAGAGUGUAUGGGGAUUUUAUUCACACGCUCACGGCCGGGACCGGCGCCAGUCGAUAACCAAAUUUUUUAUCAAGGUUGACCUCGGAUCAGGUAGGGAUACCCGCUGAACUUAAGCAUAUCAUA